CUGCGGCAGCGACACUCAGGUGUUGUUGGGUAGGGGAGCGUUCUGUAAGCCUGCGAAGGUGUGUCGUGAGGCAUGCUGGAGGUAUCAGAAGUGCGAAUGCUGACAUAAGUAACGAUAAAGCGGGUGAAAAGCCCGCUCGCCGGAAGACCAAGGGUUCCUGUCCAACGUUAAUCGGGGCAGGGUGAGUCGACCCCUAAGGCGAGGCCGAAAGGCGUAGUCGAUGGGAAACGGGUUAAUAUUCCCGUACUUGGUGUUACUGCGAAGGGGGGACGGAGAAGGCUAUGUUGGCCGGGCGACGGUUGUCCCGGUUUAAGCGUGUAGGUGUGUGUUCCAGGUAAAUCCGGUUCACUUUAACACUGAGGCGUGAUGACGAGGCACUACGGUGCUGAAGCAACAAAUGCCCUGCUUCCAGGAAAAGCCUCUAAGCAUCAGGUAACAUCAAAUCGUACCCCAAACCGACACAGGUGGUCAGGUAGAGAAUACCAAGGCGCUUGAGAGAACUCGGGUGAAGGAACUAGGCAAAAUGGUGCCGUAACUUCGGGAGAAGGCACGCUGACACGUAGGUGAAGUGAUUUACUCAUGGAGCUGAAGUCAGUCGAAGAUACCAGCUGGCUGCAACUGUUUAUUAAAAACACAGCACUGUGCAAACACGAAAGUGGACGUAUACGGUGUGACGCCUGCCCGGUGCCGGAAGGUUAAUUGAUGGGGUCAGCGCAAGCGAAGCUCCUGAUCGAAGCCCCGGUAAACGGCGGCCGUAACUAUAACGGUCCUAAGGUAGCGAAAUUCCUUGUCGGGUAAGUUCCGACCUGCACGAAUGGCGUAAUGAUGGCCAGGCUGUCUCCACCCGAGACUCAGUGAAAUUGAACUCGCUGUGAAGAUGCAGUGUACCCGCGGCAAGACGGAAAGACCCCGUGAACCUUUACUAUAGCUUGACACUGAACAUUGAGCCUUGAUGUGUAGGAUAGGUGGGAGGCUUUGAAGUGUGG
rnacentral:rRNA from 1 species